AUUGAACGCUGGCGGCAGGCCUAACACAUGCAAGUCGAGCGGGGUUUUCGGACCUAGCGGCGGACGGGUGAGUAAUGCGUAGGAAGCUACCCGGUAGAGGGGGAUACCAGUUGGAAACGACUGUUAAUACCGCAUAAUGUCUACGGACCAAAGUGUGGGACCUUCGGGCCACAUGCUAUCGGAUGCGCCUACGUGGGAUUAGCUAGUUGGUGGGGUAAUGGCUCACCAAGGCGACGAUCCCUAGCUGGUUUGAGAGGAUGAUCAGCCACACUGGAACUGAGACACGGUCCAGACUCCUACGGGAGGCAGCAGUGGGGAAUAUUGGACAAUGGGCGCAAGCCUGAUCCAGCCAUGCCGCGUGUGUGAAGAAGGCCUUCGGGUUGUAAAGCACCUUCAGUAGGGAGGAAGGGUGUUGUGUUAAUAGCACAGCAUUUUGACGUUACCUACAGAAGAAGCACCGGCUAACUCUGUGCCAGCCGCCGCCGUAAGAC
rnacentral:rRNA from 1 species